rnacentral:rRNA from 1 species
GAUGAACGCUAGCGGCGGGCUUAAUACAUGCAAGUCAAGGGGUAGCAAUACACCGGCGUACGGGUGCGUAACGCGUAUGGAACCUGCCCUUAUCUGGGGGAUAACUCGGGGAAACUCGAGCUAAUACCGCAUACGAUAGUACAAUGGCAUCAUUCAGCUAUUAAAGAUUUAUCGGAUAAGGAUGGCCAUGCGUAAGAUUAGAUAGUUGGUGGGGUAACGGCUCACUCAGUCUACGAUCUUUAGGGGCUCUGAGAGGAGAAUCCCCCACACUGGCACUGAGAGACGGGCCAGACUCCUACGGGAGGCAGCAGUAGGGAAUAUUGGGCAAUGGGCGGAAGCCUGACCCAGCCACGCCGCUUGCAGGAAGAAGGCCCUCUGGGUUGUAAACUGCUUUUGAUUGGGAAGAAAGCAUCUCAUGCGUGGGAUUUUGACGGUACCAAUCGAAUAAGCCACGGCUAACUACGUGCCAGCCGCCGCUGUAAAAC